AAAUGGCUUACCAAGGCGACGAUCAAUAGCUGGUCUGAGAGGAUGAUCAGCCACACUGGAACUGAGACACGGUCCAGGCUCCUACGGGAGGGCAGCAGUGGGGAAUAUUGGACAAUGGGCGCAAGCAUGAUCCAGCCAUGCCGCGUGAGUGAUGAAGGCCUUAGGGUUGUAAAGCUCUUUCACCCACGACGAUAAUGACGGUAGUGGGAGAAGAAGCCCCGGCUAACUUCGUGCCAGCAGCCGCGGUAAUACGAAGGGGGCUAGCGUUGUUCGGAAUUACUGGGCGUAAAGCGCGUGUAGGCGGGUCUUUAAGUCAGGGGUGAAAUGCCAAGGCUCAACCUUGGAACUGCCUUUGAUACUGGAGAUCUUGAGUCCGGGAGAGGUGAGUGGAACUGCGAGUGUAGAGGUGAAAUU
rnacentral:rRNA from 2 species